GGGAGACAUUACUGUCUCUAAGACUGAAAGGAGGUGGGUGAUAAUGUACCAGAAGCUUCAGUGGGGAGCCUGGAGGAACUGUCACUAUGGAGAGAGAUGAUCUGCAACUUCCU
rnacentral:lncRNA from 1 species